UUGUGUCGUAUGAAAUUCGUGAUAUAUGUUCAAAAAUACAUUUACUUACUGAUUUAAGUAACUUUCAAACCUCAAACAAUCGGCCGCUUAUCUGUCCUUUAUUUGGUGAUUACGAGUUCAAUAAUGUAACAUUCAAUGCUAAUAACUUUGGGACCACGUUUAGUUUUCCAACAGAAAAAUGGUGGGAACAUUAUUGGAAAUUCCAAAUUAUAUUCUCCUCUAAAGAUAGACAGCAAGUGGUUAAAACAUCUGCAGAUUUUUAUUUUAUAGAGUUUCGAAGCCGAAAUCGUCCACGCAAAAACUAAUAAUAACAAUUAUUGGCAAUCUAUUACAAUAGUAGAACAAUAAGCUUAAUUGAUAAUACUAUUGGAAGUUAGUACACACAUAGGAAACAAAGAGUGAAGAUGCC